AGAAUUUGAUCUUGGGUUCAGGAUGAACGCUGGCGGCGUGCUUAACACAUGCAAGUCGAACGAAGCAUUUCUAACUCUUCGGAGGAGGAAAUGACUGAGUGGCGGACGGGUGAGUAACGCGUGGGUAACCUGCCUUAUACAGGGGGAUAACAGUUAGAAAUGACUGCUAAUACCGCAUAACCCGCUAGUACCGCAUGGUACAGACGGAAAAGAUUUAUCGGUAUAAGAUGGACCCGCGUCUGAUUAGCUAGUUGGUGAGGUAAUGGCUCACCAAGGCGACGAUCAGUAGCCGGCUUGAGAGAGUGAACGGCCACAUUGGGACUGAGACACGGCCCAAACUCCUACGGGAGGCAGCAGUGGGGAAUAUUGCACAAUGGGGGAAACCCUGAUGCAGCAACGCCGCGUGAAGGAAGAAGUAUUUCGGUAUGUAAACUUCUAUCAGCAGGAAAGAAAAUGACGGUACCUGACUAAGAAGCCCCGGCUAACUACGUGCCAGCAGCCGC
rnacentral:rRNA from 1 species